GAGAAGUCCGGUCAGCCCGCUCCGCCGAUGCCAGUGAUUGCUCCUGGGAGCACGGUGAGUUUAGUUUGAAUGGACAUUACUUGGUAGUCUUAACAUUUGAGUGUCGUAAUGCUAACGAGACAUUGGAAAUGAUCUUUGGUGCAGCUUAACUCCAGAAACGCAUCACACGAUCCUUCUCCAGGUAGCGGCACUAGCCACCCCGCUCCUACACCUCCCUGACCACGGUAAGUUUCUCUAGUGUUUUGCUUAACAAAUGCAUAAAGACCUAGACUUAGCUUUAUUUCCUCCUAUAUGCUUACCAUAAUGACCUAGAGUUAGCUUAUUUUCCUCCAAAAUGACCCAUUUUACCUAGGUUAGCUUAUAAAUGAUGCAGUUCAUCCAAGUUAGCUCAAAUAUGACCUCUUUUACCUAGAUUAGCUCCUAAAUGAUCCAUUUUACCUACGUUAGCUUUAAAAUGGUCCAUUUCACCUACGUUAACUCCAAAAUGACCCAUCUUACGGUUAUCUCAUAAACGAUCCAUUUCAACUAAUUUAGCUCAUAAACGAUCCAUUUGACCUAAGUGAGCUAAAAAAUGAUCCAUUUCACCUAAAUUAGCUCUUAAAUGAUCCAUUUCACCUAAGUUAGCUGAAAAAGAUCCAUUUCAACUAAAUUAGCUCAAAAAUGAUCCAUUUCAACAAAGUUAGCUCAAAACCGAUCCAUUUCAACAAAGUUAGCUCAAAAACGAUCCAUUUGACCUAAGUGAGCUAAAAACGAUCCAUUUCACCUUAGUUACCUAAAAAACGAUCCAUUUCACCUUAGUUACCUCAAAAAUGAUCCAUUUCUAACUUUCUUAUUUUGCCAUUUUGCAGAUUUCAUUAUGUGCUGGAUGGAGUGCUUGUUCUACUCUUCUUCUUCUUGUCUUCUCAUUCUUGUCUUCUCAUUCUAGUCACCUUAGCUAUGGAGUGCUUCUUUAUGUAUGAAAUGAUGGAUGGAACUUGUUUAUGUAUGAAAUGAUGGAUGGAACUUGUUUAUGUAUGAA
rnacentral:lncRNA from 1 species